rnacentral:rRNA from 1 species
CACAAGCGGUGGAGCAUGUGGUUAAUUCGACGCAACGCGAGAACCUUACCAGGGCUUGACAUCCCCUGACCGCGUAUGAAAGUACGUUUCACCCUCGGGUGACAGGGAGACAGGUGGUGCAUGGUUGUCGUCAGCUCGUGUCGUGAGAUGUUGGGUUAAGUCCCGCAACGAGCGCAACCCCUAUUGUUAGUUGCCAUCAUUCAGUUGGGCACUCUGGCGAGACUGCCGGUAAUAAACCGGAGGAAGGUGGGGAUGACGUCAAAUCAUCAUGCCCCUUAUGACCUGGGCUACACACGUGCUACAAUGGUUGGUACAACGAGUUGCGAGUCGGUGACGGCGAGCUAAUCUCUUAAAGCCAAUCUCAGUUCGGAUUGUAGGCUGCAACUCGCCUACAUGAAGUCGGAAUCGCUAGUAAUCGCGGAUCAGCACGCCGCGGUGAAUACGUUCCCGGGCCUU